GUCUUGGGAUCUCAAGGGGCUAGAAUGAGCUGCUAUUCCAAGGGAGAGAAGAAAGCAACCCCAGGAAGCCUGGCCCCGAAGACUGUGAGGUAUGGUGGGGCCUUGCUGUGCUCUGGACUGGACAAGAGGCACCCUGGGCUCUGGACACAGCCAGAUCUUCAGCCAAUUGCAUCUCCGGCCCAGGGCAGGCCCUUUAUCUUAUAGCCCAGUGGUGCCUCUCUCCUCACCUAGGAAACAAAGCCAACAGGAUCUGCACCACCUCUGCCUCCCGGACAUUGGAAGGACUAAAUAAGAUCAGUGGCUGGUGUCCUGUCUCCAUCCUGCCUGGGAUAACACUGAAAAUCGCCUUAACUUCCUACGUCCUGGUAUGAGCAGAUGGCCUGCAGGAGACUUGAAGGAGCUUAGCUUUCUUUUCUAUCUUGAACACACAUGCAGACAGAGACCUCAUUCCUAGAUGGAACGAGGAAUGGUAGCGACCACGAUCCUCCCCUCCCAGGAUCUGCGCCACAAGGGAAGAUCAGAACCUUCAGCUGCCAGAAGCACUGUGGCGGAAAUGUAGGUCCCCAUCCAGGCUGAUCUGAGCUUGGCUUUCUGGAGCACGCAAACCUCGAUGCACUGAACUGCUGCCGGACCUCACCUUGCCAGGCCCACUGUGCUCACACUCACACAUCGCUCCAUCCACUGGAGGCUGCAGAGGCAAGAUCCACCAAGAAGAUGGUCUUCCUGUCCAGGAUGCCCUUCCCUGAGAGAAGUGUAUUUAAUCUUAAAUUCAGAUGUUUGUUUGUCUACCCACUUAAAACACCCUGUUGAAUAAAAAUUACUCAAGGAACACAUGGAGGCUUUGUCCAUGUAAAAGAACAAA
ensembl:lncRNA LINC01736 long intergenic non-protein coding RNA 1736